rnacentral:rRNA from 1 species
CAGCCGCCGCGGUAAUACGUAGGUCCCGAGCGUUGUCCGGGUUUAUUGGGCGUAAAGGGAGUGUAGGCGGUCUUUUAAGUCUGAUGUGAAAGCCCACGGCUCAACCGUGGAGGGUCAUUGGAAACUGGGAGACUUGAGUGCAGAAGAGGAGAGCGGAAUUCCAUGUGUAGCGGUGAAAUGCGUAGAUAUAUGGAGGAACACCGGUGGCGAAAGCGGCUCUCUGGUCUGUAACUGACGCUGAGGCUCGAAAGCGUGGGGAGCAAACAGGAUUAGAUACCCCAGUAGUCCCUGUCUCUUAUAA